GACGAACCGUGCGAACGUUGUUCGGAAUCACUGGGCAUAAAGGGCGCGUAGGCGGCUUAUCAAGUCAGGGGUGAAAUCCGGCAGCUUAACUGUCGAAGUGCCCUUGAUACUGACGAGCUCGAGGGAGAUAGGGGUGUGUGGAACUUCCGGUGGAGCGGUGAAAUGCGUUGAUAUCGGAAGGAACGCCGGUGGCGAAAGCGACACACUGGAUCUCUUCUGACGCUGAGGCGCGAAAGCCAGGGGGAGCAAACGGG
rnacentral:rRNA from 1 species